ensembl:lncRNA
GAAGGCAGGAGCGUGAGGUGAACUGAAUUUCAGGAGGGACUCCAGGAAGGAAACCAAGAGAUCAGAUGGAAGUUAUUUGUUGGUGAAGAGUAUAUAAAGACCUGUGUGAGUGUGUUUCACAUCUGUAUCAAACUCUUCAGCCACUCAUCAUGGACAAAAACACGUUGCUGGUCCUUUUGUGUCUGCAGGCGAUCCUGCUCAUCACGGCCUCGUCUGAGAUGACAGCUGAACAGCCGACACCGACAGAGGAGAUAACUUCUGUACACAGCACGAAGGUGAAAAGCCCAAAUGUUAAACAUCUGAAAAAAUGCCGCGUGACACAAGCAGGAUGUCGACAACACCACUCAAAAGCACAGCAGAGGUCACACACAAAGCCACAGCCCUACAGACCCAAAGCUCGUAGAGGGAGUCUGGCUCCAAUUUUGCUACAGUAAAGGAAUGAAGUGAAGGAGUGACCACAUCUAGUGGUGAGUCUCCUGCUUUGUUUCUUCUGAAGAAGAUGAAAUAAAAAGAAAAACAGAAACGAAGAUCUUUAAAGAAACUUUUCUUUGCUGUUUGGCAUUGCGUUACAUUUCAGUGCAAUGCAAAUCAUAUGCAGUACUAACUAUAAAAAUCACAAUAUUUCUCAGAUCAGUGGUAUAUAAGAAAUAUGUGUAUGACAUAAAAAGGUUAUUAAGGCACUACAUAAAUGAAUGUAUCUGAUACAAUUAUAAUUUGAUGUUUAUGUUUAUAAGUCAGUUUUUAAUAUGGCCUUAUUCAUUUUACUGGUUUUGAUGGAAUGAAGAACAAGUUUUCAGUCUUCUAUUGUUGUAACUUUGCACUGUAACUGCUAUUGUUUCAUGAAUUUCAGUUUCAAAUAAAGUCACCCAGAGUUAAAGCAUAAAAA